rnacentral:rRNA from 1 species
GACGAACGCUGGCGGCGUGCCUAAUACAUGCAAGUUGAGCGCUGAAGGUUGGUACUUGUACCAACUGGAUGAGCAGCGAACGGGUGAGUAACGCGUGGGGAAUCUGCCUUUGAGCAGGGGACAACAUUUGGAAACGAAUGCUAAUACCGCAUAAAAACUUUAAACACAAGUUUUAAGUUUGAAAGAUGCAAUUGCAUCACUCAAAGAUGAUCCCGCGUUGUAUUAGCUAGUUGGUGAGGUAAAGGCUCACCAAGGCGAUGAUACAUAGCCGACCUGAGAGGGUGAUCGGCCACAUUGGGACUGAGACACGGCCCAAACUCCUACGGGAGGCAGCAGUAGGGAAUCUUCGGCAAUGGACGAAAGUCUGACCGAGCAACGCCGCGUGAGUGAAGAAGGUUUUCGGAUCGUAAAACUCUGUUGGUAGAGAAGAACGUUGGGGAGAGUGGAAAGCUCACGAAGUGACGGUAACUACCCAGAAAGGGACGGCUAACUACGUG